rnacentral:rRNA from 1 species
GACGAACGCUGGCGGCGUGCCUAAUACAUGCAAGUUGAGCGCUGAAGGUUGGUACUUGUACCGACUGGAUGAGCAGCGAACGGGUGAGUAACGCGUGGGGAAUCUGCCUUUGAGCGGGGGACAACAUUUGGAAACGAAUGCUAAUACCGCAUAAAAACUUUAAACACAAGUUUUAAGUUUGAAAGAUGCAAUUGCAUCACUCAAAGAUGAUCCCGCGUUGUAUUAGCUAGUUGGUGAGGUAAAGGCUCACCAAGGCGAUGAUACAUAGCCGACCUGAGAGGGUGAUCGGCCACAUUGGGACUGAGGCACGGCCCAAACUCCUACGGGAGGCAGCAGUAGGGAAUCUUCGGCAAUGGACGAAAGUCUGACCGAGCAACGCCGCGUGAGUGAAGAAGGUUUUCGGAUCGUAAAACUCUGUUGGUAGAGAAGAACGUUGGUGAGAGUGGAAAGCUCAUCAAGUGACGGUAACUACCCAGAAAGGGACGGCUAACUACGUG